GAGGGUAUAGCUCAGUGGAAGAGUGCUGGCUUAGCAUGCACAAGGUCCUGGGUUCAAUCCCCAGGACCUCCA
rnacentral:tRNA from 1 species